CAUAAGUCUUUAGAGUUUGAUCCUGGCUCAGGAUGAACGCUAGCUACAGGCUUAACACAUGCAAGUCGAGGGGAAACGAUAGAGAAAGCUUGCUUUUUCUAGGCGUCGACCGGCGCACGGGUGAGUAACGCGUAUCCAACCUGCCCAUCACUUGGGGAUAACCUUGCGAAAGUAAGACUAAUACCCAAUGAUAUCUCAAGAAGACACCUGAAUGAGAUUAAAGAUUUAUCGGUGAUGGAUGGGGAUGCGUCUGAUUAGCUUGUUGGCGGGGUAACGGCCCACCAAGGCUACGAUCAGUAGGGGUUCUGAGAGGAAGGUCCCCCACAUUGGAACUGAGACACGGUCCAAACUCCUACGGGAGGCAGCAGUGAGGAAUAUUGGUCAAUGGGCGAGAGCCUGAACCAGCCAAGUAGCGUGCAGGAUGACGGCCCUAUGGGUUGUAAACUGCUUUUAUAAGGGAAUAAAGUGAGCCUCGUGAGGCUUUUUGCAUGUACCUUAUGAAUAAGGACCGGCUAAUUCCGUGCCAGCAGCCGCGGUAAUACGGAAGGUCCGGGCGUUAUCCGGAUUUAUUGGGUUUAAAGGGAGCGUAGGCCGGAGAUUAAGCGUGUUGUGAAAUGUAGAUGCUCAACAUCUGCACUGCAGCGCGAACUGGUUUCCUUGAGUACGCACAAAGUGGGCGGAAUUCGUGGUGUAGCGGUGAAAUGCUUAGAUAUCACGAAGAACUCCGAUUGCGAAGGCAGCUCACUGGAGCGCAACUGACGCUGAAGCUCGAAAGUGCGGGUAUCGAACAGGAUUAGAUACCCUGGUAGUCCGCACGGUAAACGAUGGAUGCCCGCUGUUGGUCUGAAUAGGUCAGCGGCCAAGCGAAAGCAUUAAGCUAUCCCACCUGGGGAGUACGCCGGCAACGGUGAAACUAAGGUUUAAGGACGGAAGGGCG
rnacentral:rRNA from 1 species